rnacentral:rRNA from 1 species
ACUUUAAGCGAGGAGGAGGCUACCGAGAUUAAUACUCUGAUAGUGGACGUUACUCGCAGAAUAAGCACCGGCUAACUCUGUGCCAGCAGCCGCGGUAAUACAGAGGGUGCAAGCGUUAAUCGGAUUUACUGGGCGUAAAGCGGCGUAGGGGCAUUAAGUCAUGUGAAAUCCCCGAGCUUAACUUGGGAAUUGCAUUCGAUACUGGUGCUAGAGUAUGGGAGAGGAUGGUAGAAUUCCAGGUGUAGCGGUGAAAUGCGUAGAGAUCUGGAGGAAUACCGAUGGCGAAGGCAGCCAUCUGGCCUAAUACUGACACUGAGGUGCGAAAGCAUGGGGAGCAAACAGGAUUAGAUACCCUGGUAGUCCAUGCCGUAAACGAUGUCUACUAGCCGUUGGGGCCUUUGAGGCUUUAGUGGCGC